rnacentral:rRNA from 1 species
UACGUAGGGGGCAAGCGUUGUCCGGAUUUAUUGGGCGUAAAGAGCGUGUAGGCGGCCAGACAGGUCAGCUGUGAAAACUCGAGGCUCAACCUCGAGACGUCGGUUGAAACCGUCUGGCUAGAGUCCGGAAGAGGAGAGUGGAAUUCUCGGUGUAGCAGUGAAAUGCGUAGAUAUCGAGAGGAACACCAGUGGCGAAGGCGAGUCCCUGGACAACACCUGACACUGAGGCACGAAAGCUAGGGGAGCAAACAGG